rnacentral:rRNA from 1 species
UACGGAGGGUGCAAACGUUGCUCGGAAUCAUUGGGCGUAAAGCGCACGUAGGUGGUCUGUUAAGUCGGAUGUGAAAGCCCUAGGCUCAACCUAGGAAGUGCAUUCGAAACUGGCAGGCUUGAGUACUGAAGAGGGUCGCGGAAUUCCCGGUGUAGAGGUGAAAUUCGUAGAUAUCGGGAGGAACACCAGUGGCGAAGGCGGCGACCUGGGCAGAUACGUGACACUGAGGUGCGAAAGCGUGGGGAGCAAACAG